UACAGAGGGUGCAAGCGUUGUUCGGAAUUAUUGGGCGUAAAGCGCGUGUAGGCGGCUUUGCAAGUCGGGUGUGAAAGCCCUCAGCUUAACCGGGGAACUGCGUCUGAUACUGGGUGGCUUGAAUCCGGGAGAGGGAUGCGGAAUUCCAGGUGUAGCGGUGAAAUGCGUAGAUAUCUGGAGGAACACCGGUGGCGAAGGCGGCAUCCUGGACCGGUAUUGACGCUGAGGCGCGAAAGCCAGGGGAGCAAACGGG
rnacentral:rRNA from 1 species